CUUCAGGCAAGAAUACUGGAGUGGGUUGUCACGCUCUGCUUCAGGGGAUCUUCCCUGAUCGAGGGAUCGAACCUGCGACUCUUACGUCUCCUGCAUUAGCAGGCGAGUUCUUUACCACUAGCGCCACCUGGGAAGCCCUGAUUCAGUUAUACACACACCUACACACACACACACAUCCUUUUUUUUUUUUAUAGCAGCAGGUGCAAGAUAAAGCCUUUUGCCUGCUAAGGAGAACAGUAGUGACCACAACAGUGCUUAGAACAGUGCCUGCCACGGAGACAACUCUCCACGUUGGCCAGCACAGAGGAACUCUGGAAGGGUGAGCUCGCGAGCGCGGAGCCGGAGGUGAACUGCCGCAGUGUUUGCUGCGUCUGGCUGUGGAAUGAGACGGCUCCUAGCAAGAAGUGUCCCAGGAGAACUUUUACUCAGGAAUAAUCUGCAUGAGGAUUUAUUUCCUCCUUGCUGGGCUUCCCGCUGAAGUGCAGGCUUGUUUCCGCUGGUUUCCGGCAGGAGGAGAACUCGGCUCAAAGAUUUCAGUGAAGCAGCCAAAGAUUCAGAUUCAACCAGUGUUCACUGAGCAUUGACUGCGUGACAUCCUCUGCCCAGGGCUUUGACCGCUCUGUCCUGUUUAGCCUUUCUAACAGCUUUCUGAGUUGUGUUCGCAUUCUACAGAUGGGGAAGAUACUGGUGUUGGAGAAGACUCUUGAGAGUCCCUUAGACUGCAAGGAGAUCCAACCAGUCCAUUCUGAAGGAGAUCAACCCUGGGAUUUCUUUGGAAGGAAUGAUGCUACAGCUGAAACUCCAGUACUUUGGCCACCUCAUGCGAAGAGUUGACUCAUUGGAAAAGACUUUGAUGCUGGGAGGGAUUGGGGGCAGGAGAAGGGGACGACAGAGGAUGAGAUGGCUGGAUGGCAUCACUGACUCGAUGGACGUUGAGUCUGAGUGAACUCCGGGAUUUGGUGAUGGACAGGGAGGCCUGGCAUGCUGCAAUUCAUGGGGUCGCAAAGAGUCGGACACAACUGAGCAACUGAACUGAACUGAACUGAUUAUGCCCAUUUUACAGCUGAGGAAACUGAGGCCCAGUGAGGUUAAGUAACUGCUCCAGGUUACAGGGGUUGAAAGUAAUGGGGCUGGGAUCCAAAUCUAGGCUAGCUGGCACCAGAGCUAGAAAUUGGGUCCAGUUCUUCCGACUCAUGCUGCUGCUGCUGCUGCUAAGUCGCUUCAGUCAUGUCCAACUCUGUGCGACCCCACAGACGGCAGCCCACCAGGUUCCCCUGUCCCUGGGAUUCUCCAGGCAAGAACAUUGGAGUGGGUUGCCAUUUCCUUCUCCAAUGCAUGAAAGUGAAAAGUAAAAGUGAAGUCGCUCAGUCGUGUCCGACUCUUAGCGACCCCAUGAACUGCAGCCUACCAGGCUCCUCCGUCUAUGGGAUUUUCCAGGCAAGAGUACUGGAGUGGGGUGCCAUCGCCUUCUCCGUCCGACUCAUGCCCAGUUCCUAAAAGCCAUGCUUAUUCUUGGCUUGAUGCCCAUAGGAGGGAUGGACUUUGGGGGGAUGGUACCCCAUAUACCUAAGGAUCCCAGGAACUGUAAGGCCAAGACUUGAUUGUGUGUUGUGAUCAGGCUAUUUAAGUGGCAAGCUAUAGAAAUCCAACUUACGUAGCUUAGAAUAAAGGAACUUUAUUGGUUCCAGUGAAACAGGAGUCCAGUGAAACAGGGGUGAGUCUAGGGAUCAUAUGAUGUCAUCAUGGCUCUGUCUGACUUUCUCUUGAGUUCAUUCACCAGCUGCUUUCUUCUGUCCUCAGGGCAGGGAGAGUGGGGGCCGCAUAUAUUGGCAGUUUAGGAACUGCUCAAGUCCCCUGCUAAGGGGCUGAGUGGGAGCCGACAUACAUUCAAAGCUCUGCUUGCCAAGCUCUGUGCCCUGGUACAAGGCAGUGUUGGGGCACUUUCCCCAAGUCAUUUGCUAGGAAGACUCGCUUAUUCCUAAUACAUGUAAGAUGCGCUAUGUGUUACAGCUUACCCUGGCCCCACCGCAUCCACUCAGGGAAUAUUUAUGGAACCCCUGUCACAGGACUCAGGUACUUCCCUGCCCUCUUGCAGCAUAUAUUUUGUGUGUAUGCUUUGUCGCCCAGUCAUGUCCGACUCUGUGACUCCAUCGACUGUAACCCAU
ensembl:lncRNA